UACGGAGGGUGCGAGCGUUGUCCGGAAUCACUGGACGUAAAGGGCGCGUAGGCGGCCUGAUAAGUAGGGGGUGAAAUCCUGCGGCUUAACCGCAGGGCUGCCUUCUAAACUGUCAGGCUGGAGCACAGUAGAGGCAGGUGGAAUUCCCGGUGUAGCGGUGGAAUGCGUAGAGAUCGGGAAGAACAUCAGUGGCGAAGGCGGCCUGCUGGGCUGUUGCUGACGCUGAGGCGCGACAGCGUGGGGAGCAAACAGG
rnacentral:rRNA from 1 species